UGAGAGUGCAGCUCUAAGUUGGUGGUAAACUCCAUCUAAGGCUAAAUAUGACCACGAGACCGAUAGCGAACAAUUACCUUGAGGGAAAGUUGAAAAGAACUUUGAAGAGAGAGUUCAAGAGUACGUGAAACCGUUCAGGGGUAAACCUGAGAAACCCAAAAGAUCGAAUGGGGAGAUUCAUCGUCAGCGUCGAUGGCUUCCGUGUGGAUGCGAUGGUCGGGACUUCGGUCUCGUGUCACGCGUUCGCUGCGGUAUGUCCGUCGUCGUCGUCGUGCACUUCUCCCCUAGUAGGACGUCGCGACCCGUUGGGUGCCGGCCUACGGCCCGGUUGGUCGACUGUCGCGUCGCGUUCACGCGUGCACGCGGCAGACCACCGGUUGCCCGGCCGGCUGCCCGGCGGUAUAGAUCGCUAUAAAACGGUAUUGGGCCGCACUAAGUGCGUUCUGGCUCGUCGGCAGGCUCGUCUCGCUCGGUUUUACGGACCUAGUGCCGUUGCCGGGCGCUUGAUGUGGCCGUUAGUCGACGAUGUCCUCGAACUGGCUCUUAAAUUCAUACGGAUUUACCGGUCGGCGA
rnacentral:rRNA from 1 species